rnacentral:rRNA from 1 species
CUACCCCAACAACUAGCCCCACUCCUUAAAUUCAACAAACCCCAUUAAUAACCCCAAAUAAGCUAAAGAAAACAAGCAAACCAUUUUUCCCCCCAAGUA